rnacentral:rRNA from 1 species
AGAGUUUGAUCCUGGCUCAGAACGAACGCUGGCGGCGUGCCUAACACAUGCAAGUCGAACGGAGUGAAGGAGCUUGCUCUUUCAUUUAGUGGCGCACGGGUGAGUAACGCGUAGAUAAUCUGCCUUGGACUCUGGGAUAACAUCUCGAAAGGGGUGCUAAUACCGGAUAAGCCCACGAUGGCGUAAGUCAUUGCGGGAAAAGGGGGCCUCUGAAUAUGCUCCUGAUUCAAGAUGAGUCUGCGUACCAUUAGCUAGUUGGUAGGGUAAGAGCCUACCAAGGCGACGAUGGUUAGCUGGUCUGAGAGGAUGAUCAGCCACACUGGAACUGAGACACGGUCCAGACUCCUACGGGAGGCAGCAGUGGGGAAUUUUGCGCAAUGGGGGAAACCCUGACGCAGCAACGCCGCGUGAGUGAUGAAGGCUUUCGGGUCGUAAAGCUCUGUCUAGAGGGAAGAAA